CUGGUAUUGUAAGCAUUGAAGUACUUGUAUCUUAUAAAAGUCACCAAACUAGACGCUAACGACAAACAUACUUUAAUAAAAUAAAAUUGUGUUUUGUCCCCUCUCUCUUUGUGAAAACUCUUGAGAUUUAAAAGUGUGUAUGAGUUUUCUUUAGCUCGUCACUUUUAGACUAUAUAUAACAUGUGUACACCCCAUUCAAAAACAC
rnacentral:lncRNA from 1 species